rnacentral:rRNA from 1 species
CGUGUAGGUGUGUGUUCCAGGUAAAUCCGGUUCACUUUAACACUGAGGCGUGAUGACGAGGCGCUACGGUGCUGAAGCAACAAAUGCCCUGCUUCCAGGAAAAGCCUCUAAGCAUCAGGUAACAUCAAAUCGUACCCCAAACCGACACAGGUGGUCAGGUAGAGAAUACCAAGGCGCUUGAGAGAACUCGGGUGAAGGAACUAGGCAAAAUGGUGCCGUAACUUCGGGAGAAGGCACGCUGACACGUAGGUGAAGUGAUUUACUCAUGGAGCUGAAGUCAGUCGAAGAUACCAGCUGGCUGCAACUGUUUAUUAAAAACACAGCACUGUGCAAACACGAAAGUGGACGUAUACGGUGUGACGCCUGCCCGGUGCCGGAAGGUUAAUUGAUGGGGUCAGCGCAAGCGAAGCUCCUGAUCGAAGCCCCGGUAAACGGCGGCCGUAACUAUAACGGUCCUAAGGUAGCGAAAUUCCUUGUCGGGUAAGUUCCGACCUGCACGAAUGGCGUAAUGAUGGCCAGGCUGUCUCCACCCGAGACUCAGUGAAAUUGAACUCGCUGUGAAGAUGCAGUGUACCCGCGGCAAGACGGAAAGACCCCGUGAACCUUUACUAUAGCUUGACACUGAACAUUGAGCCUUGAUGUGUAGGAUAGGUGGGAGGCUUUGAAGUGUGGACGCCAGUCUGCAUGGAGCCGGCCUUGAAAUACCACCCUUUAAUGUUUGAUGUUCUAACGUGGACCCGUGAUCCGGGUUGCGGACAGUGUCUGGUGGGUAGUUUGACUGGGGCGGUCUCCUCCUAAAGAGUAACGGAGGAGCACGAAGGUUGGCUAAUCCUGGUCGGACAUCAGGAGGUUAGUGCAAUGGCAUAAGCCAGCUUGACUGCGAGCGUGACGGCGCGAGCAGGUGCGAAAGCAGGUCAUAGUGAUCCGGUGGUUCUGAAUGGAAGGGCCAUCGCUCAACGGAUAAAAGGUACUCCGGGGAUAACAGGCUGAUACCGCCCAAGAGUUCAUAUCGACGGCGGUGUUUGGCACCUCGAUGUCGGCUCAUCACAUCCUGGGGCUGAAGUAGGUCCCAAGGGUAUGGCUGUUCGCCAUUUAAAGUGGUACGCGAGCUGGGUUUAGAACGUCGUGAGACAGUUCGGUCCCUAUCUGCCGUGGGCGCUGGAGAACUGAGGGGGGCUGCUCCUAGUACGAGAGGACCGGAGUGGACGCAUCACUGGUGUUCGGGUUGUCAUGCCAAUGGCACUGCCCGGUAGCUAAAUGCGGAAGAGAUAAGUGCUGAAAGCAUCUAAGCACGAAACUUGCCCCGAG